AUAGAAAAUAGAAUCAUAUCUGCAGCCGCAGUAAACUCCCCUACUGCUCAGGAAAAAACAUCAGUAGCAGUCUAACGGAGCACAAUGAAACCAGCAUCUCCAGUCUGUAGCAACUGCUCAAUGAAAACAGCUGGCUACAGCCACGUAGCUUACCCUCUCCACGCUGCGCCUUCUCAGAGAUCCAUAAGCCUUGUGAAGCAGCAGCAGCAGCAGUGGCAGCAGCGGCACCUUCAGCUUCCUUCUGGCUGUCCCUGCAGCUCUGGCUCAGCGUGACCUGCUGCCCCAGGAGUGGGUACGUAGGGCUUGUGAGGAGAGUGAUCCAGAAAUGUCAACUUGGCUUCUCCAGGCUACGGAUGGCAAC
ensembl:processed_transcript uncharacterized LOC110333656